rnacentral:lncRNA from 1 species
UAUUUCUGUAUUUUGUUUAGUAUAUUUUACAAGUAAGCACUAAUGCUGUUGCAUUAUAGUGCAGUGCAGUGAUCAUUAUGUUUGUUCUAAUAGAUGUAUUAACAACACCGUAAAGCGAUGAAAGCUUUGUUUUCAUAUUUAGCAUAAUGAUCUAGAGAGUGCAACAUACAAUUGUGUGUUGCUUCUGUGGCUCUUCUAUUAAAUCAUCUUUUACAAUGGUUCCCAACACGUGAAAGAAAGAAACUGCUGACAUGCUGAAAGGAAGCGGUUACAAAUGAGGACCAGAUAUGCCGCAUGCAGUAAAAGACUCAGGCCUUGUGGAAGGAAUUUGAUGGGAAAAAACUGACCAUAUACCUUUUUGAAGCUUUUGAUUGGGACAUGUGAAGGUCAACGAACACAGUGAGCAGGAUAUGACCCCUGGCCUCUCGAGUAUUUUUAUUCCUGUGCGGGCAAAGAGCGGUCACACUCUUUAACAUGACUGAGUUUUUCCACUGUGUAAAGUCAGCAUGGAAGUGACACCAGCUGAAGGAGGCGUUAAGCUGCCGUAGUUGUGCAAGCCGUUUUCCUCAGAAUUUUUUCCCCCACUAGAGAGCUGGAGGAGGUUGCUGGAAAACCCCCUCACUGGCAGCGUCCAGCCAGGAUGACUUUCCCCUCAACUGACUUUCCUCAAACCGAGUAUUUCUACACCUCUGCUCGAGCCACAUGGAAAUGAUUUGCGCCAUCAGACAGUCAAAUUCCAGCUGUGGACGGUGACCAGACACAUGUAGUCAUGAUGAAGGGAGUCAUCCUUCAUCGAGGAAUAAAAAAAGCAACGUUGCACGUGCCGUGCCAUCAUCCUUCAUGUAUAAUGUAGCAGAGUUAACAGGUGCACUCAUCUUGCAGAAACAACAACUGCUGUUCAGCAUGUGCAGCACUUGCCAAGAUCGAGGGGAUUUAUUGCUGCCAAAUUCUUCAAGCAACAAGGGAAAGCCAAACCCUAUCAGUUGUUCUGCAUGGAAAUCUGUUCAACUAAUCCAAACAGUUAAAUAAUGCGUUGUAAAACGUUAGCUCAUAAAGGUCCUAUAGCUUUUCAACAAACAUGCCCAUUUUUAAAUGAGUUCAUCACUUAUUUAUGAAGAUGACUGUGCUUGACAUGCAUGCAAUUCUUAGAUCUGUAAGUGCACGAGUACAAUACAUGCAGUGCAGUGGUGCAUUAUACAGAAUGUUUGCAAAGAUUUGAGAAAUAUGGCAGAAAAUUCAUUUUAUGAGAAGAGAAAUUGCCAGGAAAAAAAUCCUGAGAUGAAUCCCAUUCAUUCUUUUAUGAUAGUUUCAUAAACAAGGGACUGAUAACGUAUUUAAUGUCUUCAAUAUGCAGCUGCAACAAGUCUAGUACACCAAACUAAGCAGUCAAAUCUGAGCAAUGUUACCAAAUUAUAACACACAGCAGAAUGAAAAUCAUGUCAACACGUGAAUGUUAGUGAUCAUAAACAAACACUUUGAAAUUAGCUAACAGUUGUUUCGCUAUGCACGCAAAAAUCCUAUACAGCACAACAGCAUCUUUAAGCUUCAAAAUUACUUUUUGCCUGACAGUAAAAACAACAAAAGGAAGUCAAAGGUUACCAGUAAGCGUCCAAGCACUUGUCUGAAUUCCCAUUAAUCCUCUCAUUGAGAGCCAGUGAUCAAUACUGUUCACAGCCCCAGAUUCACAGAAAGUGGAUUUCGCGAGAAGUGCACAUGUUUCACUGCUGAAUGAAAGCCUGCCCUUUCUAGAAGCUCUCCUCUGUUUCUGUCCUUCUUCCUCUCAAACCGGCCCCCCUCACUCCGGACUUUUACUGGCCCACAGCCACCCUCAAUUACCAUGGGUGGAAAGAGAAGCAGAUAAGGAGAGCAUGAAAUAGUGAACCAGACAACCCAUCUCCGACAGUCCAAAGGGAAAAUAAUAGUAAUGAACAGAACUUCUUUCCAAGUGUUGAGGGUUUGGAUUGUUGC